rnacentral:lncRNA from 1 species
GCAAAUUUGAGGUGCUACAGCUGCCCCUAUUCAACCAACUGGAGACCCGAAAAGAAGAAAGCAACGGCUUUCGCACUUUCGAGGUAUCAAGGGAUUGAAUACAAUAAAAGCCUGAAAAUUUGCACGGAAGUGAGGUGAAGUAACAAUGCCUGUCAAAAUCGGCAAAGAGGUGUUCUUGAAAGAAGAAUCUGUCUGGUACGGUGAGAGUCGGUCUGAAUACCGAAAAA